rnacentral:rRNA from 1 species
GACGUAGGGCGCGAGCGUUGUCCGGAUUUAUUGGGCGUAAAGAGCUCGUAGGCGGUUUGUCGCGUCGGCCGUGAAAUCUCCACGCUUAACGUGGAGUGUGCGGUCGAUACGGGCAGACUUGAGUUCGGUAGGGGAGACUGGAAUUCCUGGUGUAGCGGUGAAAUGCGCAGAUAUCAGGAGGAACACCGGUGGCGAAGGCGGAUCUCUGGGCCUUACCUGACGCUGAGGCGCGAAAGCUAGGGGAGCAAACAGG